AAAUGCGAUAAGUAAUGUGAAUUGCAGAAUUCAGUGAAUCAUCGAAUCUUUGAACGCACAUUGCGCCCGCCAGUAUUCUGGCGGGCAUGCCUGUUCGAGCGUCAUUACAACCCUCAGGCCCCCGGGCCUGGCGUUGGGGAUCGGCGGAAGCCCCCUGCGGGCACAACGCCGUCCCCCAAAUACAGUGGCGGUCCCGCCGCAGCUUCCAUUGCGUAGUAGCUAACACCUCGCAACUGGAGAGCGGCGCGGCCACGCCGUAAAACACCCAACUUCCGAAUGUUGACCUCGAAUCAGGUAGGAAUACCCGCUGAACUUAAGC
rnacentral:misc_RNA from 1 species